rnacentral:lncRNA from 1 species
UUUACUAUUUCCCGAAUUUAAUAAUACAACACCGUUUGCCAUUAAACAUUACAAAUCACAAUAUAAUAAGUGGAUCUUGAAAAUUUCAAAUGAACAAAAAAAAAAAGUUAGGUGUCUUCUCACGAAUUAAAUCAAAAUACCACCUCCUCUAGGCUUCCUCAAAAGCCUCUCAAUAUGCCUCCAACUCGGUGAGCACCAAUUAUUUCAAGUCGAGAUUGACAGUGUUUAUAAGAUUACCAGCCAUAAUAACGUUGUUAGUCCAGCUGAUUAAAUCUUGAUCCAUAGCAAUAAAUUUGGCCACUUACUUAAUUUCUGCUACAAGACAUUGGGGAGAUAUCAUAUCUUCACAACCAUUCACGAAUAGCUUUUUGUCCACAAAGCUAGACCCUUCUGAAGCUAAAAAAACAAUUCACCAGAUAUGGAUCUUCCAUUAUGUACGAAUAGUCUGUCGAUUCAUCAAAAGAGAUGUUAGGUGUCUUCUCACGAAUUAAAUCAAAAUCCCACCUCCUCUAGGCUUCCUCAAAAGCCUCUGGAUUGUUGUACUCCAAUCUAAACGUUUCCUUGAUGUCAUUAACGACG